AACGAACGCUGGCGGCAGGCCUAACACAUGCAAGUCGAACGCCCCGCAAGGGGAGUGGCAGACGGGUGAGUAACGCGUGGGAACCUACCUUUCGGUGCGGAAUAACUCCGGGAAACCGGAGCUAAUACCGCAUACGCCCUAUGGGGGAAAGAUUUAUCGCCGAUAGAUGGGCCCGCGUCGGAUUAGCUAGUUGGUGAGGUAACGGCUCACCAAGGCGACGAUCCGUAGCUGGUCUGAGAGGAUGAUCAGCCACACUGGGACUGAGACACGGCCCAGACUCCUACGGGAGGCAGCAGUGGGGAAUAUUGGACAAUGGGCGCAAGCCUGAUCCAGCCAUGCCGCGUGAGUGAUGAAGGCCUUAGGGUUGUAAAGCUCUUUCGCCGGUGAAGAUAAUGACGGUAACCGGAGAAGAAGCCCCGGCUAACUUCGUGCCAGCCGCCGCGGUAA
rnacentral:rRNA from 1 species